rnacentral:rRNA from 2 species
UGCUCCCUGAUGUUAGCGGCGGACGGGUGAGUAACACGUGGGUAACCUGCCUGUAAGACUGGGAUAACUCCGGGAAACCGGGGCUAAUACCGGAUGGUUGUUUGAACCGCAUGGUUCAAACAUAAAAGGUGGCUUCGGCUACCACUUACAGAUGGACCCGCGGCGCAUUAGCUAGUUGGUGAGGUAACGGCUCACCAAGGCAACGAUGCGUAGCCGACCUGAGAGGGUGAUCGGCCACACUGGGACUGAGACACGGCCCAGACUCCUACGGGAGGCAGCAGUAGGGAAUCUUCCGCAAUGGACGAAAGUCUGACGGAGCAACGCCGCGUGAGUGAUGAAGGUUUUCGGAUCGUAAAGCUCUGUUGUUAGGGAAGAACAAGUACCGUUCGAAUAGGGCGGUACCUUGACGGUACCUAACCAGAAAGCCACGGCUAACUACGUGCCAGCAGCCGCGGUAAUACGUAGGUGGCAAGCGUUGUCCGGAAUUAUUGGGCGUAAAGGGCUCGCAGGCGGUUUCUUAAGUCUGAUGUGAAAGCCCCCGGCUCAACCGGGGAGGGUCAUUGGAAACUGGGGAACUUGAGUGCAGAAGAGGAGAGUGGAAUUCCACGUGUAGCGGUGAAAUGCGUAGAGAUGUGGAGGAACACCAGUGGCGAAGGCGACUCUCUGGUCUGUAACUGACGCUGAGGAGCGAAACCGUGGGGAGCGAACAGGAUUAGAUACCCUGGUAGUCCACGCCGUAAACGAUGAGUGCUAACUGUUAGGGAGUUUCCGCCCCUUAG